rnacentral:rRNA from 1 species
GCAGUCGUACGGGAGUUUUUAACUCUAGUGGCGGACGGGUGAGUAACACGUAAGAAUUUGCCUUUAGGAGGGGGACAACAGCUGGAAACGGCUGCUAAUACCCCAUAUGCUUUCGAGUGAAAUGGAUUUCCGCCUAAAGAGAAGCUUGCGGCUGAUUAGCUUGUUGGUGAGGUAAUGGCUCACCAAGGCGACGAUCAGUAUCUGGUUUGAGAGGACGAUCAGACACACUGGAACUGAGACACGGUCCAGACUCCUACGGGAGGCAGCAGUGGGGAAUUUUCCGCAAUGGGCGCAAGCCUGACGGAGCAAUACCGCGUGAGGGAUGAAGGCCUAUGGGUUGUAAACCUCUUUUUUCAGGGAGGAACAAAAUGACGUGUACCUGAAGAAUAAGCAUCGGCUAACUCCGUGCCAGCAGCCGCGGUAAGACGGGGGAUGCAAGUGUUAUCCGGAAUCACUGGGCGUAAAGCGUCUGUAGGUGGUUACAUAAGUCAACUGUUAAAUCUUGAGGCUUAACCUCAAAAUCGCAGUCGAAACUGUUUGACUAGAGUAUAGUAGGGGUAAAGGGAAUUUCCAGUGGAGCGGUGAAAUGCGUAGAUAUUGGAAAGAACACCGAUGGCGAAGGCACUUUACUGGGCUAUUACUAACACUGAGAGACGAAAGCUA